GGCGAACGCUGGCGGUGUGCUUAACACAUGCAAGUCGAACGGAAAGGCCCUGCUUUUGUGGGGUGCUCGAGUGGCGAACGGGUGAGUAACACGUGAGUAACCUGCCCUUGACUUUGGGAUAACUUCAGGAAACUGGGGCUAAUACCGGAUAGGAGCUCCUGCUGCAUGGUGGGGGUUGGAAAGUUUCGGCGGUUGGGGAUGGACUCGCGGCUUAUCAGCUUGUUGGUGGGGUAGUGGCUUACCAAGGCUUUGACGGGUAGCCGGCCUGAGAGGGUGACCGGCCACAUUGGGACUGAGAUACGGCCCAGACUCCUACGGGAGGCAGCAGUGGGGAAUAUUGCACAAUGGGCGGAAGCCUGAUGCAGCAACGCCGCGUGCGGGAUGACGGCCUUCGGGUUGUAAACCGCUUUCGCCUGUGACGAAGCGUGAGUGACGGUAAUGGGUAAAGAAGCACCGGCUAACUACGUGCCAGCAGCCGCGGUGAUACGUAGGGUGCGAGCGUUGUCCGGAUUUAUUGGGCGUAAAGGGCUCGUAGGUGGUUGAUCGCGUCGGAAGUGUAAUCUUGGGGCUUAACCCUGAGCGUGCUUUCGAUACGGGUUGACUUGAGGAAGGUAGGGGAGAAUGGAAUUCCUGGUGGAGCGGUGGAAUGCGCAGAUAUCAGGAGGAACACCAGUGGCGAAGGCGGUUCUCUGGGCCUUUCCUGACGCUGAGGAGCGAAAGCGUGGGGAGCGAACAGGCUUAGAUACCCUGGUAGUCCACGCUGUAAACGGUGGGUACUAGGUGUGGGGUCCAUUCCACGGGUUCCGUGCCGUAGCUAACGCUUUAAGUACCCCGCCUGGGGAGUACGGCCGCAAGGCUAAAACUCAAAGGAAUUGACGGGGCCCCGCACAAGCGGCGGAGCAUGCGGAUUAAUUCGAUGCAACGCGUAGAACCUUACCUGGGUUUGACAUGGAUCGGGAGUGCUCAGAGAUGGGUGUGCCUCUUUUGGGGUCGGUUCACAGGUGGUGCAUGGCUGUCGUCAGCUCGUGUCGUGAGAUGUUGGGUUAAGUCCCGCAACGAGCGCAACCCUUGUUCACUGUUGCCAGCACGUUAUGGUGGGGACUCAGUGGAGACCGCCGGGGUCAACUCGGAGGAAGGUGGGGAUGACGUCAAGUCAUCAUGCCCCUUAUGUCCAGGGCUUCACGCAUGCUACAAUGGCUGGUACAGAGAGUGGCGAGCCUGUGAGGGUGAGCGAAUCUCGGAAAGCCGGUCUCAGUUCGGAUUGGGGUCUGCAACUCGACCUCAUGAAGUCGGAGUCGCUAGUAAUCGCAGAUCAGCAACGCUGCGGUGAAUACGUUCCCGGG
rnacentral:rRNA from 1 species